rnacentral:rRNA from 1 species
CUGGCGGCGUGCCUAACACAUGCAAGUCGAGCGGAGUUAACAAGAGGAAGUUUCGGAUGGAAUUUGUAAUUAGCGGCGGACGGGUGAGUAACGCGUGAGCGACCAACCUUGCACAGGGGGAUAACGGACCGAAAGGUUCACUAAUACCGCAUGAGACCACGGUGUUGCAUGACACAGAGGUCAAAGGAGCAAUCCGGUGCAAGACGGGCUCGCGUCCGAUUAGGUAGUUGGUGGGGUAAUGGCCCACCAAGCCUAUGAUCGGUAGCCGACCUGAGAGGGUGAUCGGCCACAUUGGAACUGAGAUACGGUCCAAACUCCUACGGGAGGCAGCAGUGGGGAAUAUUGGGCCAAUGGGGGAAACCCUGACCCAGCAACGCCGCGUGAAGGAAGAAGGUUUUCGGAUUGUAAACUUCUGUCCUUGGUGAAGAGAAGAAGACGGUAGCCAAGGAGGAAGCCCCGGCUAACUACGUGCCAGCCGCCGC